AGCGAACGCUGGCGGCAGGCUUAACACAUGCAAGUCGAACGGACUCUUCGGGGUUAGUGGCGGACGGGUGAGUAACACGUGGGAACGUGCCUUUAGGUUCGGAACAACACAGGGAAACUUGUGCUAAUACCGAAUGUGCCCUUCGGGGGAAAGAUUUAUCGCCUUUAGAGCGGCCCGCGUCUGAUUAGCUUGUUGGUGGGGUAAAGGCUCACCAAGGCUACGAUCAGUAGCUGGUCUGAGAGGAUGGCCAGCCACAUUGGGACUGAGACACGGCCCAAACUCC
rnacentral:rRNA from 1 species